CAAUUUGUGGAGGUUAAUUAUAACCCCGUAAUAAAACCGCCACAAAUAGACUGUUUUUUUGUAGUGUGAAUUCCUUCUUUCUGGUGAAGAAUGAGGUUGUGCAAAUCUACUGGACUCUGUGUGAGUGAUAUGGAGUUGCUGUGAGAGAAAGUCCACAGUAUGGCAAUUUAUGAGUAUCAAAUGGGCGGAUGCGCAAGGGAAUUGGAGCAGACGGGAUGUAGCAGAAAAAGAGAAAGAAAGAAUUGAAGAAGUGAAGAAAUCUGUUGUUGCAGAAUUUGUUAUAGAGCUAUUCAUAAAUACAUUCUUGUAAUUAAUUAUAGAGAACUUCUAUUUAUUAUAGUUCAAAUUGUCUAUGUUGAAUGACA